rnacentral:rRNA from 1 species
UCGAGGAUCUUCGUCAAUGGGCGCAAGCCUGAACGAGCGAUGCCGCGUGAGCGAUGAAGGCCUUCGGGUUGUAAAGCUCAAAAGUGAAGAGAAAGGGAAACUUGAUCGAUUCACAGUAAGCUCGGGCUAAGUUCGUGCCAGCAGCCGCGGUAAGACGAACCGAGCGAACGUUGUUCGGAAUCACUGGGCUUAAAGGGCGCGUAGGCGGAUUGUCAAGUCCGGGGUGAAAUCCCACAGCUCAACUGUGGAACUGCCUCGGAUACUGGGAGUCUCGAGGGUGGUAGGGGUAUGCGGAACUAUCGGUGGAGCGGUGAAAUGCGUUGAUAUCGAUAGGAACUCCGGUGGCGAAGGCGGCAUACUGGACCACUUCUGACGCUGAGGCGCGAAAGCCAGGGGAGCAAACG